rnacentral:rRNA from 1 species
CCUACGGGUGGCAGCAGUGGGGAAUAUUGGACAAUGGGGGGAACCCUGAUCCAGCCAUGCCGCGUGUGUGAAGAAGGCCCUCGGGUUGUAAAGCACUUUCAGUGAGGAAGAACGCCUGGUGGUUAAUACCCAUCAGGAAAGACAUCACUCACAGAGGAAGCACCGGCUAACUCCGUGCCAGCAGCCGCGGUAAUACGGAGGGUGCGAGCGUUAAUCGGAAUUACUGGGCGUAAAGCGCGCGUAGGUGGCUUGAUAAGCCGGUUGUGAAAGCCCCGGGCUCAACCUGGGAACGGCAUCCGGAACUGUCAAGCUCGAGUGCAGGAGAGGAAGGUAGAAUUCCCGGUGUAGCGGGGAAAUGCGUAGAGAUCGGGCGGAAUACCGGUGGCGAAGGCGGCCCUCUGGACUGCCACUGACACUGAGGUGCGAAAGCGUGGGUAGCAAACAGGAUUAGAUACCCGAGUAGUC